AACGAACGCUGGCGGCAUGCUUAACACAUGCAAGUCGAACGAGACCUUCGGGCCUAGUGGCGCAGGGGUGCGUAACGCGUGGGAAGUUGCCCUUAGGUUCGGUAUAACUCCCCGAAAGGGGUCUUAAUACAGGAUAAUGUCUUAGGACCAAAGAUCUAUUGCUUUUGGAUGGGCCCGCGUUGGAUUCGGCGGUUGGUAGGGUAAAAGCAGACCAAGGGGACGUUCCAGAGCUGGUCUGAGAGGAUGCUCAGGCACACUGGGACUGAGACACGGCCCAGACUCCUACGCGAGGGAGCAGAGGGGAAUAUUGGACGAUGGGCGAUAGCCUGGUACAGCAAUGCCGCGUAAGUGAUGAAGGCCGUAGGGUUGUAAAGCUCUUUUACCCGAGAUGAGAAUGACGGUACCGGGAGAAUAAGCUCCGGCUAACUCCGUG
rnacentral:rRNA from 1 species